AUCUGUUCUUAUCAGUUUAAUAUCUGAUACGCCCCCGAUUUGGGGGCAACGUAUUAAACACAUUUUUAGAACAGGGAGCCGAAUUAGGGGCUCGCUCCGUUCGCUCCACGCUCUUAUCGAGACGUUCGCCGCUCUUACCAUCUCGAUAAGAGA
ensembl:snRNA U2 U2 spliceosomal RNA